CGGACGGGUGAGUAACGCGUGAGCAAUCUGCCUCUACCAAUGGGAUAACACUUAGAAAUAGGUGCUAAUACCGUAUAAGACCAUGAGCCUGCAUGGGCAUGUGGUAAAAGCUCCGACGGGUAGAGAUGAGCUCGCGUCCCAUUAGCUAGUUGGUAGGGUAACGGCCUACCAAGGCGACGAUGGGUAGCCGACCUGAGAGGGUGAUCGGCCACAUUGGAACUGAGAAACGGUCCAAACUCCUACGGAAGGCAGCAG
rnacentral:rRNA from 1 species